GCUUCCCAGCUUCUACGACGCUCUGCCUAAAUUAAAAAGCAACCAAUCGGAACGGCCGGAAGGGGGGCCGCGCGUCCUGAGCCAGUCAUUCCGGGGCUGCCAAUCACCCAGCAGGUAGCCAAUCAGCGGGGGCCCUGGUGCUCGACUUCCUUGUAUUUGGGAAAGUGUGGUGGUGGGUGCGCGCUCGCGGCGGAGGGUAAACAUUCGACAGUCCCCGCUCUGAGAGGGAGGGACAGAGAGCGAACUGUCAGAUCGCGGAGCGAGUGCGGGCGCCCGAGAGAGGGAGAGAGAGAGAGAGAGAGAGAGAGAGAGGGAGAGGAGAGAGAGAGGGAGUGAAGAGUGAGCGAGAGGGAGGGAGAGAGGGAAAGGGAGAGAGAGAGAGAGAGAGAGAGAGAGAGCGCGAACCGGGGUUCAGAGCGAGGCAACUCUGGCUCCGGCUUGGCCAGCUCCAGCCGCCCGCCGUCGGUGCGCCCUGCGAGCGGUGGAACGUGCCCGCUGGAGUUGGUUUGUGUAUCCAGGAUCCCCUAUAUGCACACACACACCUCAACCUCUACCAAUGCACUCUUCUUCCUCCUCCUCCUCCAGACAACUGCUGGGAAAAAAAUAAAACACCAACCACCCCAACCGUCAGCCGCAAGGAAAGAUGUCGCAUCAGACUGUGCGUGUCGCGGGGAGAAUGCAAAAGGACGCUUGUGUGAGAGGCCACCCGGAGCUCUGGCAAUAGCAACUUCAGAGAAAUGCACGGUCGCCAGAAGUUUUCCUAGGACAGAACAAAACUUGCUGGGAGAGAGGACCCGAGGGGGAGAGCCGGAGCCCGCCGCCCCUCUCCGCGCACGCGAGCACCACGCCUUCGAGGACG